GUUGCAACCAAAGAAAGAAAAAAUCCUAGUCCAAUUAGGAACCCAAUUAGAUCCUAAUCCAAUUAAAAAAUUAGUUGUAUCCAAGUUCUAAUCAAAUCAGAAAUUGGUCUCUCUUACAAUUGGGUUAUAAUCUAAUCAAGCUUGAUCUAAUUAAACUCAAACCAAGCCAAACUGAAUCUAAUUCAAUUAGACUUGAUCCUAACCCCAUUGCUCAAUUAAAUUGAGUCAAAUUAUAAUUCAAUUGCUAAUUAAUCCUCCUAUAACAC
rnacentral:lncRNA from 1 species